GAUGAACGCUGGCGGCGUGCCUAAUACAUGCAAGUCGAGCGAACGGACGAGAAGCUUGCUUCUCUGAUGUUAGCGGCGGACGGGUGAGUAACACGUGGAUAACCUACCUAUAAGACUGGGAUAACUUCGGGAAACCGUGGCUAAUACCGGAUAAUAUUUUGAACGGCAUGGUUCAAAAGUGAAUGACGGUUUUGCCGUCACUAAUAGAUGGAUCCGCGCUGCAUUAGCUAGUUGGUAAGGUAACGGCUUACCAAGGCAACGAUGCAUAGCCGACCUGAGAGGGUGAUCGGCCACACUGGAACUGAGACACGGUCCAGACUCCUACGGGAGGCAGCAGUAGGGAAUCUUCCGCAAUGGGCGAAAGCCUGACGGAGCAACGCCGCGUGAGUGAUGAAGGUCUUCGGAUCGUAAAACUCUGUUAUUAGGGAAGAACAUAUGUGUAAGUAACUGUGCACAUCUUGACGGUACCUAAUCAGAAAGCCACGGCUAACUACGUG
rnacentral:rRNA from 1 species